CAUGUCCUUUUGAUUAUAAUUUAAGGUCUAAUCUGCUCAAUGAAUUAUUUAAAUUGCCGCGGUAUUUUGACCGUGCGAAGGUAGCAUAAUAAUUAGUUUUUUUAUUGAAAGCUGGAAUGAAUGAUUGGACGAGAAAACUACUGUCUCUAUUUAAUUUAUUUUUGAAUUUAACUUUUAAGUUAAAAGGCUUAAAUUUUUUUAAAAGACGAGAAGACCCUAUAGAGUUUAAUAUUAGAUAUUAGUUUUAUUAUUUUUAGUUAUUUUAAAAUAAAACUUUUUCUGUUAUUUGGUUGGGGUGACCUUGAGAUUUAAUAAACUCUUAUAAAAUAAGUCAUUGAUUUUUGAAUAUUUAAUCUAGAAUUACUAAAUUUAGAAUAAAUUACCUUAGGGAUAACAGCGUAAUUUCUUUUUAGAGUUCUUAUUAAAAGAGAAGUUUGCGACCUCGAUGUUGGAUUAAAAUUUAUUUUUGGUGCAGAAGCUGAAAAUAUUAGGUCUGUUCGACCUUUAAAAUUUUACAUGAUCUGAGU
rnacentral:rRNA from 1 species